CAAAAAAAAAAAAAAAAAAACUAAAUUAAUUAAAUUAAUUAAAUUAUAUAUAUAAUAAUUAAAAAAAAACAAAAAUAUAAAAAGAAAAGGGGGAGGCGCUCGGCAGCCCCCCCCCCAAAUCAGAAAAUCUCUCUCUCUCUCUUUUAUUUUCUCUUGAUUUCCUCUCGGAUUUUCUUCGAUUCCAAGCGAUCCGGCCGUUCGAUCGUUGAUCCGACUUCGCUUUCACCGUUAAAGUGCCCCCGAUCUACAAGGAGGCUCAGAUUCUCAGGAUUUUGUUCGAUCUUCUCCCCAGACUCGGACUUGAGUCAUCAUUUCCCAGGCGAGUAGACAGGAUAUGUUAUGAUUAUCUUAUAUUAUGCACGUAUAUACUGUUUUAUUCAUAAAUAUUAUAACCUUGUAUAAAUUUUUAUAUGCAUAACUCGUACAUGAUUUUUAUAUGCGGAUCAUAGAAAAAUACUCUUAAAUGUUUCUAAUUUGCAUGAAAUAUUUUCAUCCUACUGGGAGAGACAUAAACUGAAAGAUACCCUAAUUGAUUUCUUGUUUUGAGAAUGUGAAUUAUUGAAUGAUAUGGUGUAUUUUAGGCACCACAUGAAAUGAUAAAUGAUUAUGACUUGUGCAUAAAUUAGGGUAUUAUUUGCAUUAUUAUUAGAGGACUAUCUAGUAGAUUCCCUGGUGACUCACAGCAGGAAAAGAUCAUGGUACUGUGAGGCUUGGCAUGCCAAGGCCAUGAGAGACACGGAUAGUAUGUUUCAGCACUGCUAUCACGUGGGCCUUUAUGAUGAUAUUGUGUGAUGAUGAUGUAUGUGCCGAUAUAUAUACUUGUGUGCAUGUGUAUAUAGGCGUUAGGCCAGUUUCUACUAGUGUGUCCUCAGAAUCAGUGCAUGCAUCUCAUACAAAAGUAUAGG